AAUCCAUGCAUCAGACAUUUCUGAAGUAAUUCCUUAAAUCUUUCCCAAGCUUCGUAUAAUGUUUCAUCUUCUAAUUGCUGAAAAGAUGUGAUUCAUUUCUCAAUUU
rnacentral:snoRNA from 1 species